UGGGGAAUAUUGGACAAUGGGCGCAAGCCUGAUCCAGCCAUGCCGCGUGGAUGAUGAAGGCCCUAGGGUUGUGAAGUCCUUUCGGCGGGGAAGAUAAUGACGGUACCCGCAGAAGAAGCCCCGGCUAACUUCGUGCCAGCAGCCGCGGUAAUACGAAGGGGGCUAGCGUUGCUCGGAAUCACUGGGCGUAAAGCGCACGUAGGCGGCUUUCUAAGUCGGUGGUGAAAUCCUGGAGCUCAACUCCAGAACUGCCUCCGAUACUGGAGAGCUCGAGUCCGGGAGAGGUGAGUGGAACUGCGAGUGUAGAGGUGAAAUUCGUAGAUAUUCGCAAGAACACGAGUGGCGAAGGCGGCUCACUGGCCCGGUACUGACGCUGAGGUGCGAAAGCGUGGGGAGCAAAC
rnacentral:rRNA from 1 species